rnacentral:lncRNA from 1 species
AUGGAGUUGGCUUUGUGGUCACAAAGGCCAAAGUGCUGUGUGUUGGCAUAAAGUCAUGGAGGAACAGCGUCAAAAACAGUCUCUGAAAGUGUGUGGUGGUUAAGAGUGCAGUUUCUAAAAGCUGGACAAGUUGCUUUCUUUUCUAGAACUUCGUUUCCUCAUUUGUACAUUGCAGUAAUAAUGGCAUCUACUUCAUAAGCACUAGUGUGGCAGACGGGAGACCUGGGGAUCCUCUGGCAGUGACACCUCUGAGCUGAGUGAUCCACGACAUGUCGCUUCCAAUCUCUGAGCCCCAGGUUCCUCAGCACCAAGCUGAAGGGUGUUCCAGUGACUCCAGCAGCUAGGAUCACGCUCUAGCUGCCGUGUGGAGACUGGACUGGAGGGAGAAGGGAGAAGACGCAAGCAGGGCAGUUAGGAGGCUGAUGCGGUGGUCCAGGUGGCCUCAGCUAGAAGAUCCUGGGAACACGGGCCGGACAUUGCCAUGGGCGACUGAAGAGGUGCCUCUUUCCUAUCCGCCUGGCAGUUAAGGCAGCGACGAAGAUCGCAGCAGGGCUGGCACGCUCUGAUUUUCUCCUGAGCGCUAAGUGGAGCUGCAAGGUGACAGAACCUCCCCGCAGUGCUCGGGUGGGACGUUCCUGUUUUAGAGCCGAGUUGCCUGAGAACCCUCUGGGAUUGGGCCCCGCCCUUCAGGGAAGAGCACCCGGCAGAGUGUUGUAUCCAGGACUGACCAGCAGGGGGCGAGCCAGACUCGGAAAUGACCAUUGCUGAGACCUGGGUGAAUCUUGCUGCUGUUUCCAACUCAAGAAGUCUGGUUUUUCCUGGACCCCUGCCCUUGAAGACAACCAGAGACCAGACUGAAAAACCCCAUGGACCGUGGACGUGUUUCAUCUCUCAUUCCUCCCUGGGGAGUAGAGAAUUGACUUAUGCCCAUUGUCCUUGUAUGAUAAAUGAUUGAAAAUAACUUUUUAGUACGGUAGAGGCUAAUUUCUUUACUUUGUAUUCUAUAAUUUGUUGAUUUUUAAGAGAAAAGGGAAAAAACUCCCUUUGGGAUGCGACAUUCACAGAAUUCGUGCUAGAAAGGUCUUAGAUUGUAU